CAGUAGCCGCGGGAAUACGUAGGUGGCAAGCGUUGUCCGGAAUUAUUGGGCGUAAAGGGCUCGCAGGCGGUUUCUUAAGUCUGAUGUGAAAGCCCCCGGCUCAACCGGGGAGGGUCAUUGGAAACUGGGAAACUUGAGUGCAGAAGAGGAGAGCGGAAUUCCACGUGUAGCGGUGAAAUGCGUAGAGAUGUGGAGGAACACCAGUGGCGAAGGCGACUCUCUGGUCUGUAACUGACGCUGAGGAGCGAAAGCGUGGGGAGCGAACAGGAUUAGAUACCCGUGUAGUCCCUGUCUCUUAUAC
rnacentral:rRNA from 1 species